rnacentral:rRNA from 1 species
UCAGGCCUAACACAUGCAAGUCGAGCGGUAACAGGCAUUUUGAUUCAGCUUGCUGAAUCUCGCGCCGACGAGCGGCGGACGGGUGAGUAACGCGUAGGAAUCUACCUAGUAGAAGGGGAUAGCCCGGGGAAACUCGGAUUAAUACUGUAUACGUCCUUAGGGAGAAAGAGGGCUUAGCUUUGAUGCUCUCGCUAUUAGAUGAGCCUGCGUAAGAUUAGCUUGUUGGUGAGGUAAAGGCUCACCAAGGCUACGAUCUUUAGCUGGUCUGAGAGGACGAUCAGCCACAUUGGGACUGAGACACGGCCCAGACUCCUACGGGAGGCAGCAGUGGGGAAUAUUGGACAAUGGGCGCAAGCCUGAUCCAGCCAUACCGCGUGUGUGAAGAAGGCCUUCGGGUUGUAAAGCACUUUAAGUAAGGAAGAAAAGUAUGUUGUUAAUACCAAUGUACCGUGACAUUACUUACAGAAUAAGGACCGGCUAAUUCCGUGCCAGCAGCCGCGGUAAUACGGAAGGUCCAAGCGUUAAUCGGAAUUACUGGGCGUAAAGCGCGCGUAGGUGGUUUAUUAAGUUGGGUGUGAAAGCCCCGGGCUCAACCUGAGAACUGCAUCCAAAACUGAUUCACUAGAGUACGAAAGAGGGAGGUAGAAUUCACAGUGUAGCGGUGGAAUGCGUAGAUAUUGUGAAGAAUACCAAUGGCGAA